AGUUUGAUUCUGGCUCAGAUUGAACGCUGACGGAUAACUUUUACACAUGCAAGUCGAACGGCAGCACGGACUUCGGUCUGGUGGCGAGUGGCGAACGGGUGACAAUGUAUCGGAACGUGCCUAGUAGCGGGGGAUAACUACGCGAAAGCGUAGCUAAUACCACAUACGCCCUUCGGGAAAGCGGGGGACCUUCGGGCCUCGCACUAUUAGAGCAGCCGAUAUCGGAUUAGCUAGUUGGUGGGGUAACGGCUCACCGACACGACGAUCCGUAGCUGGUUUGAGAGGACGACCAGCCGCACUGGGACUGAGACACGGCCCAGACUCCUACGGGAAGCAGCAGUGAAAUUUUGGACAAUGGGAAGCCUGAUCAGCCAUCAUGUGUGCGAUGAAGGCCUUCCGGGUUGUAAAGCCUUUUGGCAGGAAAGAAACGGCACGGGAUAAUACCCGUGCAACUGACGGUACCUGCAGAAUAAGCACCGGCUAACUACGUGCCAGCAGCCGCGGUAUGCGAGGAGCAAGCGUUAAUCGGAAUUACUGGGCGUAAAGCGUACCGCAGGCGGUUCGGAAGAAGAUGUGAAAUCCCAGAGCUUAACUUUGGAACUGCAUUUUAACUACCGAGCUAGAGAGUGUGUCAGAGGAGGUGGAAUUCCGCGUGUGGCAAUGCGUAGAUAUGCGGAGGAACACCGAUGGCGAGCAGCCUCACAAGGAUAUUCACUGACGCUCAUGCACGAAAGCGGAGGCAAGCAGGAUUGAAUACCUGGUAGUCCACGCCCUAAACGAUGUCAGCCGGCUGUUGGGGCCUUCGGGUGUAAGUGGCACAACUAACGCGUGAAGUUGACCGCCUGGAAACCACGGUCGCAAGAUUAAAACUCAAAGAAUUUGACGGGGACGCACAAGCGGUGGAUGAUGUAAAGGAUUAAUUCGAUGCAACGCGAAAAACCUUACCUACCCUUUCCGAAGCAUGUCUGGAAUCCCGAAGAGAUUUGGGAGUGCUCAUAAGAGAACCGGAACACAGGUGCUGCAUGGCUGUCGUCAGCUCGUGUCUCGUGAGAUGUUGGGUUAAGUCCCGCAACGAGCGCAACCCUUGUCAUUAGUUGCUACGAAGGGCAUAAUGAGACUGCCGGUGACAAACCGGAGGAAGGUGGGGAUGACGUCAAAUUAUCGUGGCCUUAUGGGCAGGCUUCACACGUCAUACAAUGGUCGGGACAGAGGGUCGCCAACCCGCGAGGGGGAGCCAAUCCCAGAAACCCGAUCGUAGUCCGGAUCGCAGUCUGCAACUCGACUGCGUGAAGUCGGAAUCAUAGUAAUCGCGGAUCAGCAUGUCGCGGUAGAAUACGUUCCCGGGUCUUACGUACACACCGCCCGUCACACCAUGGGAGUGGGUCUUACCGAAGUAGUUAGCAGCCUAGCCGUAAGGAGGGCGAUUACCACGGUAGGAUUCAUGACUGGGGUGAAGUCGUAACAAGGUAA
rnacentral:rRNA from 1 species